GCCAGCAGCCAUAUCACUCUGCAACUCACAACUGGCAACCCACUGAAGCUAAGCAGGUGUGAGCCUGGUUAGUACCUGGAGGGGAGACCUCCUGCCAAAAACUAAGGUUGUUGCUGGAA
rnacentral:rRNA from 1 species